GUGGGGUGUCCGUUCGGGGUUUGUCGCCCUCCAGGCUGGGUUCGGGAGCCCAGGCGGGACAAGUGGUGCUGCGCCCACAGUCACCUUUGCUGUAACGCAGCAGCCAGGCUGGACCUCCUGAGUGACUCUGCUCGGAAGCCUGGAGAGCCUGGCUCAAGCCCGUACUUGUCCCCUGGGAUGCUGGGCAGAUCAUUUACGCUCCUCAAUCCUGUGUUUUCGUGAGUAAAACGGUCCCAGAGAAUGAGGACCUCAGUAUCCACUCCCAACAUGUCCGGUGGAAGCUGUGAGCAUGUGGUCCUCUCAGUGCUGCCUGUGAUGCCAUCAUGGGAUCCACAGGUGUAGCGUCAUGUCUGGAAGUGUAACAGCUCCUCGAUGUGAAGUGGCUCAUCUGCGCAAAUUGCCUCCCAUGCAGUUGGAUGUGACCAUGUGACCACAUUCUCAAGCUGUGUGGAUCAGAAUGUUGCUGCUGCUCCUGCUGCUGAUUUUGAUCGCCUGGGCAGGGAUUCUUUGGUUGCAAAUGUUUUCUUUCAGAUAUUUGUGGGAGGCUCUGAGAAGAGUGCUUGCAUUCCACAUGUUGGCUGAGGAACUUCUGACUGGAGAAGCUCAGAGAGCAGGAGGGACAGUGAUGGAUCUCUCGCUUUGGUUCUGCUGAAAGAGGAAAUUUUUGGUCAUGUAGAUGUUGUGUUGUAUACUUUGUCUCCUGGUAAGGCCUGCCCCACUACUUAUCUUUGCUGUGUUGACAGUGCAAGAUCUGUCUUCUGCCAAGUGUUCAUAUAUUUUUCUAUUCCACUGUUACUUAUUACAUUGUCUGCAUAAAUCCAGAAAGCCCAAUCAAGGGUCCUUUUUAUGUAUCACCCAGACUAGGUAACUUCAAGUAGUAUCAGAGGCAGCUUUCCUCCUUUACAGAAACGGAACUACGUACAAUGACCAUUCUCCACACAGAAGCACCUUCUAAGUCGUAUGACUCUGUGACAGUGUCUGCAGUGAUUUUAUUCUACUGAGAGACAACAGCCCUUUGAUGACUUAGAUGGAACAUGGCAGUAAAUAUGAACUUGAGUCUCCCCAUUUAAAAAGACAUUUAAUUGAGGACCAGUAGGUGUCUGGAUCUCUAUCUGAAUGUGGGAUUUAGAUUGGAUGAGACAGAGCAGUACAGUCUCAUGGACUAAAGGACUCUGGCUCCUGCUGCCCCAACUAAGCUUUAAACGGCCUCUCUUUCAUUUUCCACAAAUCCUAACAUGAAAAUAUAUCCUUCAUACUUUAUUUUAUUCGGUCUUAGCUCAUUUCAAAUAUAGUAGGAAGUCCUUUCAAAAUAUUUCUUCAACCAAGUAUGGGGAUAUAUAUCAAACUCCCAAUUGGAUUCAUCUUCUGCCAACCCAUCAUCCUCUCUCACUUAGAGAUGAAGUAAUCUCGGGGGGGGAUUCUUCACUGCAGUCCCUCUCCAAAAUUAACCAAAGUAUCAUCUUAAAACAGAGAACAUGCCACUCUCCAGUUGAAAAUUGCACAAUUGUUCUGUCUCAGUCGGGAAGCCCCCCCAGUGUCUCAGCUCGGAUCAAUGGCUCCAGGGCAUAUGUAUCUAUGUAUCUAUGGGUUCUCAGCCACAAACCACACAUACCUCACCUCUCUUGUGCCUCAGGGCCUCUCUCUGAGCAGGCCCCCUCUGCCUGGAAUCCUUUACCCACUGGUGUUGGCACAUCUCAGAUGUUAUCUUCAGAGAGAGCCCUUCCCUGUCCAAGCUCUGCCAUACCCCAUCCUCCCCUCACACUGGUCCCCAGGCACUUUUCCAGGACUGGUUGCUGUGUGAUGUUAUGCACAUACAUACAUAUGUAUAUGGGUUUUCCUUAUUCAUUCACUCAUCAGCUGCUCAAGAGCUGUGAUUCUGAUAAUCUUGUACCAUCUCCAGGUCCUGGAAGGCAGUCCGGAACAGAGUAGGAACUCCCAUGACAGUUAACUAAAUUAUGAGUGAAUGCACGUCAACAUACACAUUCCAUGUAGUAAAAUAAGCAAAAUUGAGCAAAUUAAGAAGAAAGAACUAAAAGGGCAGAGGAAGCUGCCUUAGUGAGGGAGGUGGUAGGUGCCUGAAAACUUGAUUUUUUUGUCUCUAAGUCUUUCAUCACUAUAGUCUGUUACACAGGUUAUGCAUGAAGUAUUUAAAAAACCAUAACAAAAAUGAAAAAUCUAAAAAUUAUCUCUAAGACGCAUAUGAAAUCACUCCUUAUUUCUGAAGCAUCUGAAUUGCAAUCUUACUGAUUUUAGACAAGAUUUUACUCUACUUGAGAGCUGGACAUGGAAAUUGCCAAGGAGAAUUCUUUCUUUUCUUUCUGUUUUGAAGAGCAGUGGUACCCACCUUUCACUGCUGAGAGCUCGCCCUUCCACUUGCUUCCCCACUUGAUGCCCAGCUCCUGGCCGUACUCGUCCCCGUACCAGACCAGCAGUUCGCAGCCUGGCUUGAUAACCCGGCAGGUUCGGUAGAAGAUCUGCCUCUGGUAUUGAAAGGCCACCAGGUUCUGCUCCUCAUCAUCCCUGGCACAGUUCACAUACCUGGGAUUGAGGCAGGUAAAGGGAAAGAGAACCACAGGAGAAAAGUUCCCAUUACGUGUCAGAUCUGCCCCUGAUGCUUAAGGCCUCCAUGCUGUGAGGCUGCCCACGCCUCAACUCCUCAGGAACCUUCUGUUCAUACUUAAGUCUCUCUCACAGGAUCAUCUGAAUUCUCAUCUCUAAGUUCAGCUUACUGCCCUCAGCCUUCCUCUAAUGCUAUCCCCCUUGCUUGAUUAACCAUUUUCCAAAUCCCAAUUCCAGGCUUACUGCCACCUUAAUUGGUCACAAAACCCAGUGACCUUUUGUUUCUCUAAACUCUAAGUUAAGUUAUGUUUUAUACCCCAGAACUUGGUGCUUGACCAUGGACUCUGCUUCUAGAUCAACACACAUAUCAUUCCAUACUCAGCCCAAAUGUGGCUAUCUUCCUUUGAGAGAGCUUCUCCAAUUCUCCCUACACGGCAUCUGAGGUACCAUUCACUUGCCUUCCCUGAGUUCUCAUAGAACCUUGGAGCUUUCUUUGUCUUAGUAAAAUGACACAGAAAAGCAAUAUCUUAUAUACAUACUGCAGCCCCUGAUAAAAUAAGAGCCCCUCAAAGAAACGGGUUGGGUCAUGAAGCACAGAGACCUGUGGCCAUACUGCAGUCCCUUCCUAUACACACUUCAGAACCCAGUUCUAUUAGAACUGAGGCUAGGAAGAGCUGCUGCCCUCACAUGUUGAAGGUCCCUUGUUUGAGGCUAUCUCUCCACUGUAUACCUCUUGAAAGAUAGGGAAAUUAAAGUUAAAUAUUCUUAAACCCAAUUGUCUACUAUCUGCCUGCAAUAUGUCUUCCAUAGGACCUGGGUUGCAUAAUGUAUUUAACUAAUGAACUCCAUUGUCUAAACUGGAACACAAUAAAUGCUUAUAAAUGUUGAUCAGAUAAAUUAAAGUGUGAAUCCAGGGUUCCCGAUGAA